rnacentral:tRNA from 1 species
GUCAGGAUGGCCGAGUGGUCUAAGGCAUUAGACUCAAAUUCUAAUCUCACUUUUGACA